UACGUAGGUGACCAGCGUUGUCCGGAUUUACUGGGCGUAAAGAGCGCGCAGGCGGUCGUUCAAGUCGAGUGUGAAAGCCCCCGGCUCAACUGGGGAGGGUCAUUCGAUACUGAUCGACUUGAAGGCAGGAGAGGGAAGUGGAAUUCCCGGUGUAGUGGUGAAAUGCGCAGAGAUCGGGAGGAACACCCGUAGCGAAGGCGGCACUCUGGGCCGGUACUGACGCUGAGGAGCGAAAGCGUGGGGAGCAAACAGG
rnacentral:rRNA from 1 species